UACGUAGGGUGCAAGCGUUAAUCGGAAUUACUGGGCGUAAAGCGUGCGCAGGCGGUUAUGCAAGACAGAGGUGAAAUCCCCGGGCUCAACCUGGGAACUGCCUUUGUGACUGCAUAGCUAGAGUACGGUAGAGGGGGAUGGAAUUCCGCGUGUAGCAGUGAAAUGCGUAGAUAUGCGGAGGAACACCGAUGGCGAAGGCAAUCCCCCUGGACCUGUACUGACGCUCAUGCACGAAAGCGUGGAGAGCAAACAGG
rnacentral:rRNA from 1 species